GCCUUCAUAGUGUAGUGGUCAGCACGCUCGGCGCGUAUUCGAGAGGUCGCUGGUUCAAAUCCUGGCGAGGGCA
rnacentral:tRNA from 1 species